GAUGAACGCUGGCGGCGUGCCUAAUACAUGCAAGUCGAGCGAACAGACGAGGAGCUUGCUCCUCUGACGUUAGCGGCGGACGGGUGAGUAACACGUGGAUAACCUACCUAUAAGACUGGGAUAACUUCGGGAAACCGGAGCUAAUACCGGAUAAUAUAUGGAACCGCAUGGUUCAAUAGUUAAAGACGGUUUUGCUGUCACUUAUAGAUGGAUCCGCGCCGCAUUAGCUAGUUGGUAAGGUAACGGCUUACCAAGGCAACGAUGCGUAGCCGACCUGAGAGGGUGAUCGGCCACACUAGAACUGAGACACGGUCCAGACUCCUACGGGAGGCAGGAGUAGGGAAUGUUCCGCAAGGGGCGGAAGCCUGACGGAGCAACGCCGCGUGAGUGAUGAAGGGCUUCGGAUCGUAAAACUCUGUUAUUAGGGAAGAACAAUUGUGUAAGUAACUAUGCACGUCUUGACGGUACCUAAUCAGAAAGCCACGGCUAACUACGUG
rnacentral:rRNA from 1 species